rnacentral:rRNA from 1 species
UACGUAGGCAGCGAGCGUUGUUCGGAAUUACUGGGCGUAAAGAGUGUGUAGGUGGUGCUCUAAGUUCGGUGUGAAAUCUCCCGCUUAACUGGGAGGUGCGCCGAAAACUGGAGUGCUCGAGCGUGGGAGAGGAAAGCGGAAUUCCUGGUGUAGCGGUGAAAUGCGCAGAUAUCAGGAAGAACACCCGUGGCGAAAGCGGCUCUCUGGAACGGGUACUGGACGCUGAGACGCGAAAAGCGUGGGGAGCGAACAGG